rnacentral:rRNA from 1 species
GACGAACGCUGGCGGCGUGCCUAAUACAUGCAAGUAGAACGCACAGUUUAUACCGUAGCUUGCUACACCAUAGACUGUGAGUUGCGAACGGGUGAGUAACGCGUAGGUAACCUGCCUGGUAGCGGGGGAUAACUAUUGGAAACGAUAGCUAAUACCGCAUAAUAUUAAUUAUUGCAUGAUAAUUGAUUGAAAGAUGCAACUGCAUCACUACCAGAUGGACCUGCGUUGUAUUAGCUAGUAGGGGAGGUAACGGCUCACCUAGGCGACGAUACAUAGCCGACCUGAGAGGGUGAUCGGCCACACUGGGACUGAGACACGGCCCAGACUCCUACGGGAGGCAGCAGUAGGGAAUCUUCGGCAAUGGACGAAAGUCUGACCGAGCAACGCCGCGUGAGUGAAGAAGGUUUUCGGAUCGUAAAGCUCGGUUGUAAGAGAAGAACGGGUGUGAGAGUGGAAAGUUCACACUGUGACGGUAUCUUACCAGAAAGGGACGGCUAACUACGUG